CCCUUAGAUGUUCUGGGCCGCACGCGCGCUACACUGAUGCAUUCAACGAGCCUAUCCUUGACCGACAGGUCCGGGUAAUCUUUGAAUCUGCAUCGUGACGGGGAUAGAUUAUUGCAAUUAUUAAUCUUCAACGAGGAAUUCCUAGUAAGCGCGAGUCAUAAGCUCGCGUUGAUUACGUCCCUGCCCUUUGUACACACCGCCCGUCGCUACUACCGAUUGAACGGUUUAGUGAGGGCCUCGGAUUGGUCUCGGCCCGCUCUUUACCGGGCGGCGCCGUUGGUCGAGAAGACGCUCGAACUUGAUCGUUUAGAGGAAGUAAAAGUCGUAACA
rnacentral:rRNA from 1 species